rnacentral:sRNA from 1 species
AACUUCAAGUUCAUCCA